UGCUUGUUGGGUUUCGGUCACACAGUGGAAUAAGAAUUUUAAAAAUUUUGACAUGUAUGCAAAUAAGUUUUAACAUUUAAAACUGGCAUACCAGAACUCUAAUUCUAGAAUCAUCUUAUAGAUAUCAAUCAAACCAAAACAAGCAUGCAAUGAGAUAGAAGUUGUACUUCUCGAAAGUCGGGUAACAAAAGAAUCCCCAUG
rnacentral:lncRNA from 1 species